rnacentral:rRNA from 1 species
AUUGAACGCUGGCGGCAGGCUUAACACAUGCAAGUCGAGCGGGGUGAUGGUGCUUGCACUAUCACUUAGCGGCGGACGGGUGAGUAAUGCUUAGGGAUCUGCCCAUUAGUGGGGGACAACAUCUCGAAAGGGAUGCUAAUACCGCAUACGUCCUACGGGAGAAAGCAGGGGAUCACUUGUGACCUUGCGCUAAUAGAUGAGCCUAAGUCGGAUUAGCUAGUUGGUGGGGUAAAGGCCUACCAAGGCGACGAUCUGUAGCGGGUCUGAGAGGAGGAUCCGCCACACUGGAACUGAGACACGGCCCAGACUCCUACGGGAGGCAGCAGUGGGGAAUAUUGGACAAUGGGGGGAACCCUGAUCCAGCCAUGCCGCGUGUGUGAAGAAGGCCUUAUGGUUGUAAAGCACUUUAAGCGAGGAGGAGGCUCUUUUGGUUAAUACCCAAGAUGAGUGGACGUUACUCGCAGAAUAAGCACCGGCUAACUCUGUGCCAGCCGCCGCGGUAA